rnacentral:misc_RNA from 1 species
GAUGAAGAACGUAGCGAAAUGCGAUACGUAAUGUGAAUUGCAGAAUUCAGUGAAUCAUCGAAUCUUUGAACGCAUAUUGCGCUCUCUGGUAUUCCGGAGAGCAUGCUUGUUUGAGUAUCAGUAAACACCUCAACUCCCUUUUCUUUUUUGAAAUUGGAGCUGGACUUGAGUGAUCCCAACGCUUUCUUCCAAGAAAGUGGCGGGUUGCUUGAAAUGCAGGUGCAGCUGAACUUUUCUCUGAGCUAUAAGCAUAUCUAUUAAGUCUGCCUAAAAAACAGAUUAUUACCUUUGCUGCAGCUAACAUAAAGGAGACUAGUUCUUGUGCUGACUGAUGCAGGAUUCACAGAGACAGCUUCGGCUGACUUUGUAAACUCGAUCUCAAAUCAAGUAAGACUACCCGCUGAACUUAAGCAUAUCAAUAAGCGGAGGA